AUUGANGGGGACCCGCACAACCCGGUGGAUGAUGUGGAUUAAUUCGAUGCAACGCGAAAAACCUUACCUACCCNUGACAUGGUCAGGACCCCUGCUGAAAGGUGGGGGUGCCCGAAAGGGAACUGAUACACAGGUGCUGCAUGCCUGUCGUCAGCUCGUGUCGUGAGAUGUUGGGNUAAGUCCCGCAACGAGCGCAACCCUUGUCCCUAGUUGCUACGCAAGAGCACUCUAGGGGAGACUGCCGGUGACAAACCGGAGGAAGGUGGGGAUGACGUCAAGUCCUCAUGGCCCUUAUGGGUAGGGCUUCACACGUCAUACAAUGGUCGGAACAGAGGGUUGCCAAGCCGCCGAGNUGGACGCCAAUCCCAGAAAACCGAUCGUAGUCCGGAUCGCACUCUGCAACUCGAGUGCGUGAAGUCUGGAAUCGCUAGUAAUCGCGGAUCAGCAUG
rnacentral:rRNA from 1 species